AUGAUCAGGUUGAUAGGUCUGAGGUGGAAGUGUGGCGACACAUGGAGCUGACAGAUACUAAUCGAUCGAGGACUUAACCAAUUU
rnacentral:rRNA from 2 species